GGAAGACUCUGAUUCAGUGGUUGGGACAUUUGCUUUGUAUGCAGAAGGUCCCAGGUUCAACCCCUGGGGUCUCCA